UGCGAUCGGAGUAAGUCAGGAGGCGCGCUGUAAGCCCGCUCGUCGUCGCCGAGGAGGGAUUUGCUUUCACUCGUUGACAGACAGACGGGCGGGAAGAAAAGGUGCGCGGCGCCCCCAUUUUGGCGGUGACUGGUUUGCAGAUUAAGACACUACAAUGGCUUGCAAAAGUUUUCAUACCCCUUGAACUUUUCCACAUUUUGUCACGUUAUAACCAUGUGGGAUUUUAUGUGAUAGACCAACACAAAGUGGUGCAUAAUUGUGACGUGGAAGGAAAAUGAUACAUGGUUUUCAAAUUUUUUUACGAAUAAAAAACUGAAAAGUGUGGCGUGCAAAAGUGUUCAGCCCCCUUUACUCUGAUACCCCUAAAUAAAAUCCAGUGCAACCAAUUGCCUUCAGAAGUCACCUAAUUAGUAAAUAGAGUCCACUUGUGUGUAAUCUAAUCUCAGUAUAAAUACAGCUGUUCUGUGAAGGCCUCAAGAGGUUUGUAAUAGAACAUUAGUGAACAAACAGCAUGAUGAAGCCCAAGGAACACACCAGACAGGUCAGGGAUAAAGUUGUGGAGAAGUUUAAAGCAGGGUUAGGUUAUAAAAAAAUAUCCCAAGCUUUGAACAUCUCACAGAGCACUGUUCAAUCCAUCAUCCGAAAAUGGAAAGAGUAUGGCACAACUGCAAACCUACCAAGACAUGGCCGUCCACCUAAACUGACAGGCCGGGCAAGGAGAGCAUUGAUCAGAGAAGCAGCCAAGAGGCCCAUGGUAACUCUGGAGGAGCUGCAGAGAUCCACAGCUCAGAUGGGAGAAUCUGUCCACAGGACAACUAUUAGUCGUGCACUCCACAAAUCGGGCCUUUAUGGAAGAGUGGCAAGAAGAAAGCCAUUGUUGAAAAAAAGCCAUAAGAAGUCCCAUUUGCACAAGACAUGUGGGGGACACAGCAAACAUGUGGAGGAAGGUGCUCUGGUCAGAUGAGACCAAAAUUGAUGUUUCUGGCCUAAAUGCAAAACGCUAUGUGUGGCGGAAAACUAACACUGCACAUCACCCUGAACACACCAUCCCCAAUGUGAAACAUGGUGGUGGCAGCAUCAUGCUGUGGGGAUACUUUUCUUCAGCAGGGACAGGGAAGCUGGUCAGAGUUGAUGGGAAGAUGGAUGGAGCCAAAUACAGGGCAAUCUUGGAAGAAAACCAGGCCCAAAGUACCCUCUCCUCAAAACUCAAGAAAAGAAAGUGGAACGAAGAAUAUAUCAAGUAUGGCAUUUUCCUUCCCCAAGGUGAACUAACAAGCUCUACUCCCUCAGCUCAGUGCAUGUUUUGCAGUGUAAAAUAUAGCAACCAGUGCCUGGCUCCUUCAAAAUUACAGACUCAUUUAAGAACAAAGCAUAGCAAUCAUCAAAACAAGUCCAUACAGUUUUUCAAGAACACUCAUGAGUAUUCGUGGAAGCAGCAGAAUUUCUUCCAGUCGAUGGUAAAGAAUGACACUGCAACUAAAAAAACCUCUUCUUGCCACUCUUCAAAUAGCACAUGUGCUCAUGAAAGAAAAAAAGCCAUACACAGCGGCUGGGAAAGUUGUCAAACCGUGCUUGAAAAUCAUUGCCUAUCUACCACAUGGUGGAAAGCAAGCAGUGGAUAAAAUAGUGCAAAUCCCUUUGUCCAAUGACACAAUGAAACUUCGAUCUAUGUGAUUGCUGAAGAUCUGAAGCAUCAGCUGAUGGCGAAACUGUUGGAAGCACCAUUUUUCGCUCUGCUGUUUGAUGAAACUACGGACAUUAAAAACGAUUGUGUAUUGUCGUUUCCUGGAUCAAAGCUUGGGAAAAAUUGUUGAGCAUUAUUUCUUUUGCUUGCCAGUCGAAGAGCAAACUACAGGUGAAUUUGUUUUCUCCAAGCUUGAUGAAUUCAUGGAAAAUGAACAUUUAUCUUGCAGCAAAUGUGUUGCUGUGAUUACAGACGGUGCUGCAGCCAUGAUGGGGGAAACAUCAAGGAUAAAGGAGCCACCGCUCGCAUCAAAGAAUAAUCCCAGAAUUGCACCUUUUUACAUUGUUGUGUACAUCGGGAAGCACUGGCUGCCAACAAACUGAACACUUGUUGCAAUGACCAGAAAAAUGAGCUGGAAGAAUUGUUGCAGGAUGUGGUGAAAAUUGUCAAUGCUAUUUGCCCACAAGCAAAAAAAUGUUGGCUGUUUUCAGAGCUAUGCAAGGAUAUGUCUGCAGAUCACAUGAUUCUCCUGCAUUCUGAGGUUCGAUGGUUGCCACGUGGAAGAGUCCUUGAAAGAGUACUGUCCCUGAAGAAUGAACUGUCUGUAUUUUUUACUGAGCAAGGUGACGUGAAAGCAAUGCAUUUCAACAAUGAUUUUUGGCUGGCCAAAUUGUGGUACAUGACUUCUAUUUUUGAACAUUUGAAUCGGCUCAACUUGUCACCUCAAGGUAAAGGAGGUGAUAUCUUCGAUGUCCUUGGGAAAAUAGAAGCCAUGAAAAUGUAGAUCACCAUGUGGCAUAGUAACAUUCGUAAAGACAAUUUCUCCAAUUUCCCACAUUUGGAAAGCUUCCUCAAAGAGUGUGAGUGGGAAGAAAAGCAACUUGAUCUGGAGAAAAGACUGAAGGACAUCAUUUCCGACCAUCUGCAGUUGCUGUCUAAACAUUUUGAAACCUAUUUUCCUCAGAAGCAUCUGCAGGACUUGGAAAAUCAGAUGUGGAUAGUUAAUCCUUUUAUCACCAGCCACAUCAAGCGAGCAGAUUUUGGUGGAAAUUUCAGUAGUGUUGAUGGAGUUUCAUUAUGACUUCACUCAAAAAUCAUCUUAUGAUAUGUACUCCUACCAUGGAGACUAUUGGGUUGGAUUACUUGCUUUCCCUGAAUACAAAUCAAUUGCCUUGAAGGCCCGUCAACCACUAGUAAUGAUGACAACAACUUUCCUGUCUGAACAAGGAUUUUCGACCUUGGUAGAACUGAAAUCCAAAAGACGGAAUUCACUUCAGUAUGUUGAUUCGGUAAUGCGGGUUGCUUUGGAGAAGGAAAUUGAACCUCGGUUUGAGAAGCUUGUCACAGGAGUACAGGAACAUCCUAGUCAUUGAUGAUAAAAAAAAAACAUAAAUAUAAGUGUGAAGAA